UGUUUCGGCUAGGGGGUCAUCCCGACUUACCAACCCGAUGCAAACUACGAAUACCGAAGAAUGUUAUCACGGGAGACACACGGCGGGUGCUAACGUCCGUCGUGAAGAGGGAAACAACCCAGACCGCCAGCUAAGGUCCCAAAGUCAUGGUUAAGUGGGAAACGAUGUGGGAAGGCACAGACAGCCAGGAUGUUGGCUUAGAAGCAGCCAUCAUUUAAAGAAAGCGUAAUAGCUCACUGGUCGAGUCGGCCUGCGCGGAAGAUGUAACGGGGCUAAACCAUGCACCGAAGCUGCGGCAGCGACACUAUGUGUUGUUGGGUAGGGGAGCGUUCUGUAAGCCUGCGAAGGUGUGCUGUGAGGCAUGCUGGAGGUAUCAGAAGUGCGAAUGCUGACAUAAGUAACGAUAAAGCGGGUGAAAAGCCCGCUCGCCGGAAGACCAAGGGUUCCUGUCCAACGUUAAUCGGGGCAGGGUGAGUCGACCCCUAAGGCGAGGCCGAAAGGCGUAGUCGAUGGGAAACAGGUUAAUAUUCCUGUACUUGGUGUUACUGCGAAGGGGGGACGGAGAAGGCUAUGUUAGCCGGGCGACGGUUGUCCCGGUUUAAGCAUGUAGGCUGAUUGUCCAGGCAAAUCCGGAUAAUCAAGGCUGAGGUGUGAUGACGAGGCACUACGGUGCUGAAGUAACAAAUGCCCUGCUUCCAGGAAAAG
rnacentral:rRNA from 1 species